UAAAAAACAAUUUUGAUGUAAAACAAAACAUAGAAAUUACAGACUUACAAAGUGGCUCUGGAAUGAAACAAUAUUAGAUUAAAUGGUAAAAAUAUAUUUCUUAGGCUCAGGAGUGAUAUUGUCUAAAUAAUUCAGACAGAAUUUUCGUGGGAUUUGUGUCUUCAAGGGACUGCCACCCUAUUACCUUUUGUUAGGGCUCUCAGGGACUCCAUAUUGGAGAUCAUUCGAGAAUGAUAUGCACAUUUGAUUCGGGACCCCCUCUGGGGACACUCGCUCGCAAGAGCCCAAUUUGUGGGAAGGCCACACUUUCGGCAUGGUGGUCUGAAAGAUGGAAACGGCUUGAGUCCUUCGGAAGCUCCACUGAAGAGACUCCUGCUCGAGGGAAGGGAGCGCUCCGCCAGAAGGCUUAGCAGCUACCAGUGCGGUGAGCCAAAUUUCCAAUGGUUUCAUCUCUUUUCUAGCGGCCAUAAAGGGCGUAGGCUAAUAUAACCUUUUCUCGGUUUUCAGGAGCCGGGAUUUACUGAUUUAUUCAUUCAUUUAUUUCAUUCGUUGAGUAAUUUAUCUCAAAAGCUUCAAAAAUCCUAGAAGUCAAUUUAGUUUUGGAGACCUCCUGGAGCGAAGAAUUUAAACACGCCAUCUACCUCUGCCACGUCAUUUUGGUACCACGUGCGCGGCCCCUGAGCUCUACGUCUCCGCUCAGCAUCUAGCUUCACCGGGGAAAGCAGCCUGUCACCCCGCUGCAUCUGAGGAACGUUUAAAUUCUGAGGUCGGUCCUUUCCAUGAUUUAAUUUAGUAGGGCAUCAGCGCCAGCUGCAAAGUUUAGAGUAAAUUUGGAAUUUUGAGCAACCACUAAAGUAAGAUAAAGACAUUUGAAAAUCCUGGUACAUAGUAUUUAGUAUAAAAUAAAUUAGUUCUUAAAUAAGUAGAAUUCUGUGUGAAGCUUUAUCCUGGACCUGUUAAGCGGCCCAGCUUUCCACUGAGCUAAGUUCUGAAAUUAGGUGUCGUCAAAUCAAGUUAAAGGUUCACAUAGAAGUCAACAAGUUUAGAUUUAUCAACUAACAUUCCAUAGGCAAGAUAUUUAGGCUUAAAUAAAGUUUCUAUAAUAUAA